rnacentral:rRNA from 1 species
AUUGAACGCUGGCGGCAGGCUUAACACAUGCAAGUCGAACGGAGUGGCGGACGGGUGAGUAAUGCCUAGGAAUCUGCCUGGUAGUGGGGGAUAACGUCCGGAAACGGGCGCUAAUACCGCAUACUAUCAGAUGAGCCUAGGUUGGAUUAGCUAGUUGGUGGGGAAAAGGCCUACCAAGGCGACGAUCCGUAUCUGGUCUGAGAGGCGGAUCAGGCACACGGGAACUGAGACACGGUCCAGACUCCUACGGGAGGCAGCAGUGGGGAAUAUUGGACAAUGGGCGAAGUCCUGAUCCAGCCAUGCCGCGUGUGUGAAGAAGGUCUUCGGAUUGUAAAGCACUUUAAGUGGGGAGGCGUUACCCGCAGAAGAAGCACCGGCUAACUUCGUGCCAGCAGCCGCGGUAAUUC